rnacentral:lncRNA from 1 species
CAUGUAAAAUACACACAAACUUUUGAAGACUUAGCACAAAUAACAAGAAUGUAAAAUAUCACAUUAAUAGUGUUUAUAUUUAUUGCAAGUUGAAGUGAUAAUAUUUUGGACAUAUUGGGUUAAUAAAACUUUACCACUAAAAUUACUUUCACAUGAUUCUUUCCACCUUUAAAAUCUUCUCUAAUUCUCUAGUCUCCUAUUAGUGUUC